UCGAAGUUGGCCCCCGAAGCUCUUCCGUCUCCCCCCCGGGCCUCCCGGGGAGGUUGCGGGCGGCGAGGGGUGCCUCCGGCCGCACGCCCAUUCUUGUCUACUGACCCGGUUGCCUCGGCGGGCCGCGCCUGCUGUGCUACAGCGGCCGUUCGGGGGGGACGCCUGAGGGGGACUCUUGUUUCCUAGGCCACGCCCCGGGCAGCGCUCGCCGGAGGAUUACUCUGGAAAACACACUCUUGAAAGAACAUACCGUCUGAGCGAGCAACGCAAAUCAGUUAAAACUUUCAACAACGGAUCUCUUGGUUCGCA
rnacentral:misc_RNA from 1 species